rnacentral:rRNA from 1 species
CAAUAGCGUAUAUUAAGGUUGUUGCAGUUAAAAAGCUCGUAGUUGAAUUUUUGCUUGCCGCCGAUGUCGGAACUUCCGUACGUUCGGCGGCGUGCAUCCUUGGGUGGAACCUGUGUGGCAUUAGGUUGUCGUGCAGGGGAUGCUCAUCGUUUACUGUGAAAAAAUUAGAGUGUUCAAAGCAGGCUUACGCCGUUGAAUAUAUUAGCAUGGAAUAAUAAGAUAGGACCUUGGUACUAUUUUGUUGGUUUGCGCACCGAGGUAAUGAUUAACAGGGACAGUUGGGGGUAUUCGUAUUCCAUUGUCAGAGGUGAAAUUCUUGGAUUUCUGGAAGACGAACUACUGCGAAAGCAUUUACCAAGGAUGUUUUCAUUAA